rnacentral:rRNA from 1 species
UUAUAAGAGACAGCAGUAGCCGCGGGAAAACAGAGGGUGCGAGCGUUAAUCGGAUUUACUGGGCGUAAAGCGUGCGUAGGCGGCUUUUUAAGUCGGAUGUGAAAUCCCUGAGCUUAACUUAGGAAUUGCAUUCGAUACUGGGAAGCUAGAGUAUGGGAGAGGAUGGUAGAAUUCCAGGUGUAGCGGUGAAAUGCGUAGAGAUCUGGAGGAAUACCGAUGGCGAAGGCAGCCAUCUGGCCUAAUACUGACGCUGAGGUACGAAAGCAUGGGGAGCAAACAGGAUUAGAUACCCCCGUAGUCCCUGUCUCUUAUAC